rnacentral:rRNA from 1 species
CCUACGGGAGGCAGCAGUGAGGAAUAUUGGUCAAUGGGCUUACGCCUGAACCAGCCAAGUCGCGUGAGGGAAGACUGCCCUAUGGGUUGUAAACCUCUUUUGUCAGGGAGCAACGCCGGCUACGUGUAGCCGGACUGAGAGUACCUGAAGAAAAAGCAUCGGCUAACUCCGUGCCAGCAGCCGCGGUCAUACGGAGGAUGCGAGCGUUAUCCGGAUUUAUUGGGUUUAAAGGGUGCGUAGGCGGAAUGCCAAGUCAGCGGUAAAAUCGCGGGGCUCAACCUCGCUCCGCCGUUGAACCUGGCGUGCUUGAGUGGGCGAGAAGUAUGCGGAAUGCGGGGUGUAGCGGUGAAAUGCAUAGAUAUCACGCAGAACUCCGAUUGCGAAGGCAGCAUACCGGCGCUCAACUGACGCUGAUGCACGAAAGUGUGGGGAUCGAACAGGAUUAGAUACCCGAGUAGUC